GCGAUUGCUUGAAAUGUUGAAAGAAGCAAGAGGGAGGCGAUAUUCAUCCAAAAGAAAACAAAAAUAAGGGCGGGAGAGAGAGAGGGGAUUAUAUGUUGAUUCUCGGUGUCGUCUCCGGUGUUUAGGAAGGGAAGAAGAAAUGGUUGGGGUUGCUCCUGAUGAUAGAAGUCGAAGGCGUCUACCAGUGUGGAUGCUGGGUGUAGCUGCUGCUGAUGAGACGAGAAAUUCUGAUGAUGUAGUUGAAAGAGCUGUGACCAAAGGGCCUGAAAAAGGGGUUCCGCUUCAAGAAAUGGACACUUCACAUUUUCCUGUAAAAUGUGAAACAAAGAGAAAAAGAAAAUCAAGUAAUCGAGAUGCAAACUGUGAGGGCAUGAUCACUGAAACCGUUUCAGGGAAGAAAAAGUAUAAUGGGCACGGGAGAAAAGUUGAGGAAUCUGCUGCAAGUAAAAGACGAAAAGCAAAGGGUUCUGACUUUGAUGAUAAUGAUGUGGAGCUGACAAUAGAAGAUCUGAUGGCCAUUGCUGAAGAGUAUGUCAAAGUGGAGAAGAAUACGGAGCAACAAGCUUCAAAUAGAGAAUGUGGAUCAGAAAGGCAAGUUCUAAUGACAGCCUCUUCCAGCAGGAACUCAAGGUGUUUGCUUGAUGUCCCCAACAGUAAUCAAAGUUCAUCUGCUCAUGAAUUGACAGCUUCUUAUACUUCCUCUGUGACUUUGGCCAGUGAAGAAAUUGCCAUCAUUGACAGGACAACAGUGGACCCUGCUCAAGACAUGUUGGAUCUGUUUUUGGGUCCCUUGCUUAAGAAACCCGUCGUGGAGGAGAAGAAAUCUUUUGUGAAGGAUAUUGCAUUUGCCUAUGAGUUUGAAAGGCAAACUCAGAAUAAUGUUGUUGGAGAAGAAAUAGAGCCCCUGAUGAAAAAGAAGAGCAGUCUCAAGGAUAAGGUGGCAAUGUUUCUUGACUGAAUAAGAUAUCCAAAUUGUUUGCGCAAACCUGAAUAGUAUGAUACAGCAUCGAUACGUUCCAUGAUCUUUUGAAUAGCACUUCUGGACAACCUAUGUGGAGUUACCAUCUUAGUCAUAUAUCUUCAGUUCUUCACCACAGUUGAUACUCCAAUAGGAGAAAUCUUGGGAGGCCUACUUUGUAGCCGGUUGUUUUGACAUCUUCUUGAACUUGGCUCCUGUACUCUCCAAACGUGAACUUUCUAUAGAUUGAGGGUUCUGUGCAACUGGCAAUUAAAGAAUCAUAGGAAGGGCAAAGGAAGUAUGCUAUCGAGUAUCUCUCCGUUGUCCUAUUAGCCAUUACCCUGUGCUCCACGCUUUUAUACAAAUUAUUGCUCCAUGCCUGUCAUUUUUAGUUACCACAAGGAGAAGAAACAAAUUAUUUUUUUAAAAUAUGAAAAUUGGCUUGUUUCGGCUCGGUUGGGCUUGGGCCAAGAUGGAUGAGAAA